rnacentral:rRNA from 1 species
UACGGGGGGAGCAAGCGUUGUUCGGAUUUACUGGGCGUAAAGCGCCUGUAGGCGGCCUGUCAAGUCCGGCCUGAAAGCCCCCCGCUCAACGGGGGAGGGUGGCUGGAAACUGGCAGGCUUGAGGGCGAGAGAGGAGGGUGGAAUUCCUGGUGUAGCGGUGAAAUGCGUAGAGAUCAGGAGGAACACCCGUGGCGAAGGCGGCCCUCUGGCUCGACCCUGACGCUGAGAGGCGAAAGCGUGGGGAGCGAACGGG